UACGUAGGGGGCAAGCGUUGUCCGGAAUCAUUGGGCGUAAAGAGCGUGUAGGCGGCCAGAAAAGUCCGCUGUGAAAACUCGAGGCUCAACUUCGAGCUGUCGGUGGAAACUUUCUGGCUAGAGUCCGGAAGAGGAGAAUGGAAUUCCUGGUGUAGCGGUGAAAUGCGCAGAUAUCAGGAAGAACACCCGUGGCGAAGGCGGUUCUCUGGGACGGUACUGACGCUGAGACGCGAAAGCGUGGAGAGCGAACAGG
rnacentral:rRNA from 1 species